UGACCGAAAAAAAAAAACAAGAUCGAUUGGAAAAUGGCCACCGUAUAGCACCAUUUUCCGAUAGCGAUACCACCAAUAGGCCUAGCUUUUCAGUAACCAGCCCUGAUUUUUGGCGUCCAUCCAGCCUAGAUUGCAGCCCUCUCAAAUAUUUUGUGUGGGUAUGGUUGAAGCAAAGAUCAAUAAGACUCAUCAUAACAUAAAGGAAUCCCUGAAGGUUUUUAUCCUACAGGUGAUGACAAGUUUAGACGGAGAAGAGGUGAAGCAUGCCUGCAAGGAAUUUAGGCCCAAUACGAAAAAGUUGCAGAAAAUAUUGUUGCCAAAAUCAUUCAUACAGCAAAGUUGGGUCGGGGAACAUAUACAGGCUCGUUGAGGUGAAUCCGGAGGAAUAGCUAUGUAAAUAAAAAUAACAAAGCUGCAGGAAAGAAUAAAUAUAUUUAAGGAAA
rnacentral:lncRNA from 1 species